rnacentral:rRNA from 1 species
AGUGAACGCUGGCGGUAGGCCUAACACAUGCAAGUCGAACGGCAGCACAGUAAGAGCUUGCUCUUACGGGUGUCGAGUGGCGGACGGGUGAGGAAUACAUCGGAAUCUACUUUUUCGUGGGGGAUAACGUAGGGAAACUUACGCGAAUACCGCAUACGACCUACGGGUGAAAGCAGGGGAUCUUCGGACCUUGCGCUAUGGAAUGAGCCGAUGUCGGAUUCGCUAGUUGGCGGGGUAAAGGCCCACCAAGGCGACGAUCCGUAGCUGGUCUGAGAGGAUGAUCAGCCACACUGUCACUGAGACACGGCCGAGACUCCUACGGGAGGCAGCAGUGGGGACUAUUGCACGAUGGGCGAAAGCCUGAUCCAGCCCUACCGCGUAGGUGAAGAAGGCCUUCGGGUUGUAGAGCCCUUUUGUUGUGAAAGAAAAGCAGCAGUUUAAUACCCCGCUGUUCUGACGGUACCCAAAGAAUAAGCUCCGGCUAACUUCGUG